ensembl:rRNA 5S_rRNA 5S ribosomal RNA
GUCUACGGCCAUACCAUCCUGAAUGCACCCGAUUUCAUCUGAUUUCAGAAGCUAAGCAGGGUUGAGCCUGUUUACUACUUGGAUGGGAGACUGCCUAGGAAUACCAGGUGCUGUAGGCU